GUGCCAGCAGCCGCGGUAAUACGUAGGUGGCAAGCGUUGUCCGGAAUUAUUGGGCGUAAAGGGCGUGUAGGUGGAUAAUUAAGUCGUGUGUCUAAGUGCGGGGCUCAACCCCGUAUAGGCGCAGGAAACUGGUUAUCUUGAGUGCAGGAGAGGAAAGUGGAAUUCCCAGUGUAGCGGUGAAAUGCGUAGAUAUUGGGAGGAACACCAGUGGCGAAGGCGACUUUCUGGACUGUGUCUGACACUGAGGCGCGAAAGCUAGGGGAGCGAACGGGAUUAGAAACCCGAGUAGUCC
rnacentral:rRNA from 1 species